GGCCUAGUGGCGAACGGAAUCGCACCCCCACUGGGUCAGGCGACGUGCAACUUCAUCAUCGUGGGCGCUCCUGGUUCGACUCCAGGCUAGGUCA